AUGGAACUCCUAUAAAUACUGCUUGGUAUAAUUUCAGGUGAAUGAACUGUACAAACUGUUGAAACAAAUCGACGGUAUAUCACAUUCCGAGAUAUUGGAGCGCAUGGAGGCACUCGAAGCACUGCAUAACCAAGCGAGCAACUUCGGUAAAUCUCUAACUGAGCUAGAGACCCUUCAGACUACAAUAGCCAGUGGUGUGCAGAACAACAAGGAGCUGUUGCAAGGUGUCCAAGGAGUUUUCGCACAUAACCUUGACAGUCUUCGUAAAGAGAUUAAAAAGUUAGACGAUAGGAUUGGAAAACUGGUGGCGGCGUGAUAAACUAACAUAAUUAUGAUGUUUUAAAAUCGAUUGUUUAGCGCAAAUUAUUUGUUUAAACUAAUUAUAUAUACUAUAGUUAGUAAUAUUUUUCAUCAGAUAUUACAAGCCUGCUUUCGAGUUGUAAGUGCGUAAAUUUUUAUACGAAUUGCCAUUUAAAUUGAAUAAUCUUUAUUUUAACCAUAGUAAGUAGUUUAGUAAGAGAAUAUAAAUGCUUUCAUUUGAACCAGUUAUAUUUAACUAAUAAAAAAGAUAUUUACCUCUCUUUUGACUUAUCAUUUGAAACAAAAAUCCUCAGUUUUAACAAUUUACUCAUUAGAUAUUAUGUUAAACAAUCGAUUUUAAAACUCAUGUAGCUUAAAAGUUUUAAUAAGACACCAUCAAUGCUCUCGAAUUAUUCAAUGGAAAAUAAUUAUGCAAUUAAAUUGAGAUUUUAUGUUAUAUUCCUACAGUUAUUUGCUUAUUAAAAUACAACUGUUACCGUUAAAAUAGAAUUUUGAUUGUAAGUUGAGAUUGUUGGAGACCUAACUCCUAAUUAAUGCUUUUACAAUAUAAGGCUGCACGUAAUUAUCAGGUGCUUGAUUAUUUACCAUACUAAUUAAAAAAAACAGUGAUUAUUGUGCCUGUGUACUGUACCCUGUUUGUAAAGUACUAUUGUACCAAUGUCAUUUAGUUUGAACUAGAGUCGAAUUUACCUUAGUUGUAUCAAAAUCUGUUUAAGUACCCACACAAUUCAAUUUUGCACGUCAUUUGAUUUCAUUAUAAUUCGUCUUCUGAGUUAGCAAAGUAAUCUUAAUUCUAACAGCAUAUUAUUUUGCAGUUACUGAUGAGCCAGUUAUUAUUUCGACAUUGUCACUUUUUUACACAUUAAGUAUUCCAAUGUUACAUUUAUUUUAAACUCGUGUAUCGUACUUUAUAAGAAUACUGCUUAAGAGAUAUAAUUUAUUAAAUAAAUCGAUUAUGUAGCUAA